UGGGGAAUAUUGGACAAUGGGGGGAACCCUGAUCCAGCCAUGCCGCGUGUGUGAAGAAGGCCUUAUGGUUGUAAAGCACUUUAAGCGAGGAGGAGGGUACUGGUAUUAAUACUACCAGGUACUGGACGUUACUCGCAGAAUAAGCACCGGCUAACUCUGUGCCAGCAGCCGCGGUAAUACAGAGGGUGCGAGCGUUAAUCGGAUUUACUGGGCGUAAAGCGUGCGUAGGCGGCUAAUUGAGUCGGAUGUGAAAUCCCCGAGCUUAACUUGGGAAUUGCAUUCGAUACUGGUUAGCUAGAGUGUGGGAGAGGAUGGUAGAAUUCCAGGUGUAGCGGUGAAAUGCGUAGAGAUCUGGAGGAAUAACGAUGGCGAAGGCAGCCAUCUGGCCUAACACUGACGCUGAGGUACGAAAGCAUGGGGAGCAAACAGG
rnacentral:rRNA from 1 species